rnacentral:lncRNA from 1 species
UUUUUUCUUUUUAUUUCCCCCUUUUCUUUCUUUCUUUUUUUGUCUUUCUCUCUCUCUUUCCUUCCCUCUUCUUCUUCCUUCCUUCUGUGUUCUACCGUGACGUUCCUUUCUUCCCAGCGCCCUUGCCUUCCAUGGCAGCCCGAUCCCCUUCCCCCUCAGCCCCGAUUCUUUUCCUCUGGAGCCUCUCCUCUCCCCCUAUAAAUAAUUUCCACCGCCGCCUCGCCCCGUUCCCC